rnacentral:rRNA from 1 species
AGCAGCCGCGGUAAUUCCAGCUCCAAUAGCGUAUAUUAAAGUUGUUGCAGUUAAAAAGCUCGUAGUUGAAUUUCGGGAUCAAUAUGUUGGUCGUGCCUCGGUACGUACUAGCUUAUUGGUUUCUCCUUUCUGAAGAACCAUGAUGUCAUUUAUUUGGUGUCGUGGGGAAUCAGGACUGUUACUUUGAAAAAUUAGAGUGUUUAAAGCAGGCUCACGCUUGAAUACAUUAGCAUGGAAUAAUGAAAUAGGACGUUUGAUUCUAUUUUGUUGGUUUCUAGGAUCGACGUAAUGAUUAAUAGGGAUAGUUGGGGGCAUUAGUAUUCAAUUGUCAGAGGUGAAAUUCUUGGAUUUAUUGAAGACUAACUACUGCGAAAGCAUUUGCCAAGGAUGUUUUCAUUAAUCAAGAACGAAAGUUAGGGGAUCGAAGACGAUCAGAUACCGUCGUAGUCUUAACCAUAAACUAUGCCGACUAGGGAUCGGAUGAUGUUAAUUUUUUAAUGUACUCAUUC